GGUGAUAGGCCUUCACCACAGCAUACCACUGAUCUACGCCUCAAGGCGUAGUAUGCCAUGACAUAGGAAUGGCGCUCUGUAGAGCAGAUACAGGCUGCACAAGUCACCACACCACAGACAUAGAGCACCAUGGCACAGGCACAUGCAUCGUGGCACAAGUUCAAGUUUACUAUGGCACGUAUACAUGGUCCAUUACGGCCUGGCCCCCGGGACGUCGCGAGGCUAAGCGGUGGUACACAAUGUUCUCGGCCUGGUGCUUCGCGGCUCAGAGUGGUAGUGAAUCACGUCACAUCCGCAAAGCUCCACCUCACAGGCUGAAGGCUUCGUGAAACAGGCACGGGGCACUGACGGUGUGGGUUUUACCGUGACACAGAUUCAAGAAGCGCGCUAUAACGCGGAUGUAGCGAAUCUUCACUAAGAAACAGUACGCGCCAUGGGACAAUGUUCUUACGUGGAUCACUGUGGUCUAGGGUAGGCGCCUCGCAACACAAAUACAAGGUAUACUACAGUGUAGGCCAGGCGUCUCACAGCACAAAUACAUGGUCUAUUAUGGUAUAGGCCAAGCGGCUUGUGGCCCAAGUACACGGUAUAUUAUGGUACAGGCCCAGUGUUUCAUAGCACACAGAUAAGUGGGCGUACUGUGGUAGAAGCCAGAUGCCUCACGGCAAAAUACAAUCAUACUGUGGUAUGGGACAAACACCUUGUGCCACAACACUUGGUAUCCUACGGUAUAGGCCUGAUAUCCUGUGGCGAGGGUACGUGGAUGUUCUGCGGUAUAGGCGCUUCGUGGCGCAAACACAUCGUGUACUAUGUAUGGUACAAGCUGGGUGCCUGUGGCACAGAUACGUGAGAUACUACAGUGUAGGCCUGGUGUGGCACAGACACACGGACGUACCGCAAUACAGGUCAGACGCCUCAGCACCGUUACAUGAUAUACUACGGUACAGGCCAAGCGCUAUGUGGCACAGCUACGUGGUACACUACGGUAGGAGCCAAGCGCCUUCCUGGUACAGCUACGUGGUAUACUACGGUAGAAGCCAAGCGCCUCACGGCAAAAAAUGUGUGGAUUAUACGACGUAAACCACUGCCUUGAGGCACACAUUCAAGAUGUACUACAGUACAGACCUCGUGUUUCGUGGCACAGAUAGACACAAGGACUGGCUUGAUCUCUGUCUGUGGAUGGGUCCUGAAGAACCACUGUCAUUUCCCUACCCUCCCCAGGCUGUCUGCUCCCCAAAGUUCACAGAGCCAAGGACGACCUAUUGGAAACUGGUGGGAGCAAGGCCGGCCUUUGGAAAGCAGCCCGUGUUUGCUUUUCUUUAUCACCAAAUGCACAAGGGCAACCCCGUUUACCUAAAGGCAGUGCUUUUAAGCUCAUCCCUUCCACAAACACCUAAAGGGAGGAGGAGGAAGAGGAAGAAUAGGAGGAGGAGGAAGACGA
rnacentral:sRNA from 1 species